ACGAACGCUGGCGGCAGGCCUAACCCAUGCAAGUCGAGCGCGCCCUUCGGGGUGAGCGGCGGACGGGUGAGUAACGCGUGGGAACGUGCCCUUUUCUACGGAAUAGCCUCGGGAAACUGAGAGUAAUACCGUAUACGCCCUUUGGGGGAAAGAUUUAUCGGAAAAGGAUCGGCCCGCGUUGGAUUAGGUAGUUGGUGGGGUAAUGGCCUACCAAGCCGACGAUCCAUAGCUGGUUUGGGAGGAUGAUCAGCCACACUGGGACUGAGACACGGCCCAGACUCCUACGGGAGGCAGCAGUGGGGAAUCUUAGACAAUGGGGGCAACCCUGAUCUAGCCAUGCCGCGUGAGUGAUGAAGGCCUUAGGGUUGUAAAGCUCUUUCAGCUGGGAAGAUAAUGACGGUACCAGCAGAAGAAGCCCCGGCUAACUCCGUG
rnacentral:rRNA from 1 species